UACGUAGGGACCAAGCGUUGUUCGGAUUUACUGGGCGUAAAGGGCGCGUAGGCGGCAAUUCAAGUCAUCUGUGAAAUCUCCGGGCUUAACCCGGAACGGUCAGGUGAUACUGUUUUGCUAGAGUGCGGAAGGGGCAAUCGGAAUUCCUGGUGUAGCGGUGGAAUGCGCAGAUAUCAGGAGGAACACCGGUGGCGAAGGCGGGUCUCUGGGCCGAUAUUGACGCUGAGGAGCGAAAGCGUGGGGAGCGAACAGG
rnacentral:rRNA from 1 species